GGGGAUGUAGCUCAGAUGGUAGAGCGCCCGCUUAGCAUGCGGGAGGUAGGGGGAUCGAUACCCUCCAUCUCCA
rfam:Ramazzottius varieornatus DNA, contig: Scaffold013, strain: YOKOZTNA-1.